GCCAUAUCAAUAAGCGGAGGAAAAGAAACUAACAAGGAUUCCCCUAGUAACUGCGAGUGAAGCGGGAAAAGCUCAAAUUUGAAAUCUGGCAGUCUUUGGCUGUCCGAGUUGUAAACUAGAGAAGUGUUACCCGCGUCGGACCGUGUACAAGUCUCCUGGAAUGGAGCAUCAUAGAGGGUGAGAAUCCCGUCUUUGACAUGGACUACCGAGGCUUUUGUGGUGCGCUCUCAACGAGUCGAGUUGUUUGGGAAUGCAGCUCAAAAUGGGUGGUAAAUUCCAUCUAAAGCUAAAUAUUGGCGAGAGACCGAUAGCGAACAAGUACCGUGAGGGAAAGAUGAAAAGAACUUUGGAAAGAGAGUUAAACAGUACGUGAAAUUGCUGAAAGGGAAACGCUUGAAGUCAGUCGCGUUGGCCGGAAAUCAACCCUGCUUCUGUUAGGUGUACUUUCUGGUUGACGGGCCAGCAUCAGUUUUGACCGGUGGAAAAAGUCCAAGGGAAUGUGGCAUCUCCGGAUGUGUUAUAGCCCUUGGUCGUAUACAUCGGUUGGGACUGAGGAAUUCAGCACGCCGCAAGGCCGGGUUUCGACCACGUUCGUGCUUAGGAUGCUGGCAUAAUGGCUUUAAUCGACCCGUCUUGAAACACGGACC
rnacentral:rRNA from 1 species